CCAAUAGCGUAUAUUAAAGUUGUUGCAGCUAAAAAGCUCGUAGUUGAAUUUCGGGAUCAAUAUAUCGGUCGUGCCUUGGUACGUACUGGUAUCAUUGGUUUCUCCUUUCUGACGAACCAUGAUGUCAUUAAUUUGGUGUUAUGGGAAGUUAGGACUGUUACUUUGAAGAAAUUAGAGUGUUUAAAGCAGGCUUUAGCUUGAAUACAUUAGCAUGGAAUAAUGAAAUAGGACGUUCGAACCUAUUUUGUUGGUUUCUAGGAUCAACGUAAUGAUUAAUAGGGAUAGUUGGGGGCAUUAGUAUUCAAUUGUCAGAGGUGAAAUUCUUGGAUUUAUUGAAGACUAACUACUGCGAAAGCAUUUGCCAAGGAUGUUUUCAUUAAUCAAGAACGAAAGUUAGGGGAUCGAAGACGAUCAGAUACCGUCGUAGUCUUAACCAUAAACUAUGCCGACUAGGGAUCGGAUGAUGUUAAUUUUUUAAUGACUCAUUCGGCGCCUUACG
rnacentral:rRNA from 1 species